UACGGAGGGUGCGAGCGUUGUCCGGAAUCAUUGGGCGUAAAGGGCGCGUAGGUGGCCCGGUCAGUCUUUGGUGAAAGCGCGGGGCUCAACCCUGCGUCGGCCAGGGAUACUGCCGCGGCUCGAGCACUGUAGAGGCAGGCGGAAUUCCGGGUGUAGCGGUGGAAUGCGUAGAGAUCCGGAAGAACACCGGUGGCGAAGGCGGCCUGCUGGGCAGUAGCUGACACUGAGGCGCGACGGCGUGGGGAGCAAACAGG
rnacentral:rRNA from 1 species